GUGGGGAAUUUUGGACAAUGGGCGAAAGCCUGAUCCAGCCAUGCCGCGUGCAGGAUGAAGGCCUUCGGGUUGUAAACUGCUUUUGUACGGAACGAAAAGACUCCUUCUAAUAAAGGGGGUCCAUGACGGUACCGUAAGAAUAAGCACCGGCUAACUACGUGCCAGCAGCCGCGGUAAUACGUAGGGUGCAAGCGUUAAUCGGAAUUACUGGGCGUAAAGCGUGCGCAGGCGGUUAUAUAAGACAGAUGUGAAAUCCCCGGGCUCAACCUGGGAACUGCAUUUGUGACUGUAUAGCUAGAGUACGGUAGAGGGGGAUGGAAUUCCGCGUGUAGCAGUGAAAUGCGUAGAUAUGCGGAGGAACACCGAUGGCGAAGGCAAUCCCCUGGACCUGUACUGACGCUCAUGCACGAAAGCGUGGGGAGCAAACAGGAUUAGAAACCCCAGUAGUCC
rnacentral:rRNA from 1 species